CGUUCUGGAGUUUAGUAGCUCGUGUGCGAUCUAGCCGGAGUUUUCUUCCGUGUUUGUUGGAGAUUAGGUAGUGAGUCGAUGCUCUGGUCAUGUAACACUGGGUAGACUAGUCGUGUUGAACUCAUGUUUCUAUUUGGUUAUGUAUUAUGUUUAUGACUUAAGAACUUGUUAUUUUGCUACUUGUUGUUUGAGAGGCUUUCAAGCCAAAUAUUCUGAUUAUGAUUUAUUUUAUGUUGAGAUGAUUAUUGAGAUAUGAUCAUGGUAUGGGACAUGAAUCAUUUUAUGAAA